ensembl:lncRNA
CGCAUGUUAUGACAGAAUCCUUCAGACCGUCUGAUUAGGAUUAGCAUAUUUGUUCUACAAAGUAACUCAUAUUUUGUGCAUAAGGAGAAAGAACAAUGUCAUGUGUGUUUACUCAUCUAUGAAAAAGACAACAGCACUUUUUGAGGUGUUCUGCACUUAAGACUGGACAACAAAUCUCCUCCUGUGAUGAUUGCAGUCCAAAAAGCUGGGUCUCUUUACCAGAGACUAAACAGCGACAUCAAAGACAGGCUGGCUGGAUGCUCCCUGACUUUCCACACUUCACAAAACACCACAACAAACCUGCUCAGUCACCCUUCCCUCCAAGAGGACAUGUGAACCCAAACAGCGCCCACAAAAUGCCUCCAUCCCACAACAUAACAGGGCCACUGGACCCCCUCAUUAUACGGUCAAGAGUUCUAUUUUUUCCUCUAAUCUGUCACCCAUCUUCACAUGGUUGAGCAAAAACACCACUUAAAGACACUUGGCUCAUCGGUGCCCCCAACAGGACUUAAAUUGUAAAAAAUCUCGAAG